rnacentral:rRNA from 1 species
UACGAAGGGGGGCUAGCGUUGCUCGGAAUGACUGGGCGUAAAGGGCGCGUAGGCGGUUUGUACAGUCAGGUGUGAAAUUCCCGGGCUCAACCUGGGGGCUGCACUUGAUACGUAGGGGACUUGAGUGAGGGAAAGAGGGGUCGUGGGAAAUUCCCCAGUGUAGAGGUGAAAAUUCGUAGAUAUUGGGGAAGAGCACCGGUGGCGAAGGCGGCGACCUGGUCCUUUUUACUGACGCUGAGGCGCGAAAGCGUGGGGGAGCGAACAGG